AUCUUAGCACUACACACAUAUUCUGCUGUACCGUUUGACACCUUGUAUCAUAUACACGUAAAACAAUGCUCGGAUGAGACGUUAAACAUAUGCCGUGUCCGGAAGCCUUCCCUGCACUGAAGCCCGAUAGGAUCUGCGGUCGUCAUAUAUAUAGCACACACCUUGUGACCCGGGGGUACGGCAACAUCAUACAAUACGUCACAAAUUCUAUCCGAUGAUCUAAAUGCUACAGCCUGGUUUUGUAGCUCCUCGUAAUUCAGCUGUUUUAGCAUGUGAAGCAUUAAGCAUGCCUGUUGUAAUGGAAACGACGUAGUGGCUCCCAGCUGUAGUACGUGCGGUCGAGUGAGCACGCACUGUGCGUAAAAUGGUCGUCUUUUCGGUAGUGGAGUUCGUAGCGAAAGGAGAAUCACGUGGCCUUAUUUAGGCUAAUUGGAAUCGUCGGCUGUCGAGAGCCUGUCCUAGCAAUGAGAAGCGAGCUGGGAUUUUGACAAGUUAUGAUCACUGUGUGAUUACAUUCUGUCACAGAACGUUGUAACCACGGACAUGUGGAACUAGAUUUACAGACGUCCGUCCGCCGGGCAUGGAAAACUAACGACACGGGACCACAGAGGCAAGAACCGUAGGCCCGCCGCCAGGGGGUGAGGCCGUGAGCUGAUAUAACUAAGGACACACCGUACAUCUUAAGAUGACAUUGACAUCUCUAAUUUGGAUUGUUGUCAUGGUGACUCUCGGCUCCCUCCCCACCUCCCGCUCGGUCACGCCUUGGAAUCCAUCGUUGCCAUGGAAACCAACCAUGUCUAAUUUCCCGCCAGAUUACCACAACCAUCCCUGCUCACGAGAGUGUGUGGAGGGCGCCCCCUCACUGGUGUGCGAGUACGACUUCAUCAUCGAGUACUACUACACCCUGACGCGGGCCUGCUACGGCUGCCCGUACAACCAGACAGACUGCACCCGCCCACAUUGCGUGCCCGCAGAUGGAAGGUCACGUGGUAUACUGACAGUUAACAGAAUGAUUCCAGGUCCGGGAAUACAUGUUUGUGUCGGAGAUGCGAUCAAAGUGAAUGUUAAGAACAAGUUAGAAGGAUCUGAGGGGACCACCAUUCAUUGGCACGGGGUACUUCAGCACGGAACUCCUUAUAUGGACGGCGUUGCCAUGCUGACGCAGUGCCCGAUCCAUGCGCACUCCACGUUCCAGUAUAAUUUCUUGGCAGAGCUUCCCGGCACUCACUACUGGCAUGCGCACGCUGGUCUACAGCGAGCAGACGGUCUGUUUGGAGCUCUUGUGAUUCGCCAGCCGAGAUCACGUGACGUACAUGGACUUGAGUAUGACUUUGACCUCCCCGACCACACGGUAUUGAUAAAUGAUUGGUUGUCGGAAAUGAGCGCCACCCGAUACGCCGGGCAUCACCAUGCCAUGACUGAACACUCUCCGGACUCCAUCCUCAUUAACGGGCACGGGUCCAAGCACGUGUUCAGCGAGUCACCAUCUCAUAGCGAACAUUCACAUGGACACGGGGGCCAUAUGGGGGCCAGCAAGGGGCAUGACGGCCAUGAGAUGCACCCGACUGGAUCAAUGACUCAUGGUCAACCGACUGCACAUAGCGAAAGUUCCAUCAUUUCCGGUCAUAACGGUAUGACGCAUAGCGACGGGUCACAUGACCAAAACUCUAAUCAUCUGUCACGUGGUCCUACUCCAACCAUGAUGCCCACUGAAUCGCCAAUGUCUCACGGUGACCAUCCAAGUAUGACAGCACAUGAUGCACAUGUGGACAUGGGCCAGCCAAUGGGAUCACAUGCAGCAACAACGCCAGAAGGCCAUUCAGAAAGUGCGCGUGAACAUUUGCAUACUGAUGGUAUAAGGUCAUCGGAUAGUACGACCGAAGGCCAUAACCACCACCGGUCAAGGAGGAGCAGUGAGAAACCGGGUUGUGGUAAUGAUACUGGACACCAGAAGGAUCAAGAGGUGCACACACCCAAUGCUGUCUUUCUUAUUACACCAGGGUUCCGUUCUCGUUUCCGUUUGAUUAGCAACGGAGUCAACAAUUGUCCCAUUCAUUUUUCUAUUGAUAACCAUACGUUGCUUGUGAUAAGUUCAGACGGAUCUCCAUUUAAACCUGUGAAAGUAGAGUCAUUAAACCUAUUUGCCGGUGAACGUUAUGAUGUGAUUAUUGAAGCCAUUAAUCCUGUGGGAAACUAUUGGAUUAGGACGCGGGGCCUGGCUGACUGCGGGCCGGAAAUGAAGUCCGCUUCUCAGACCGCCAUACUGCGGUAUUUAGGCGCACCAGACACACUCCCCUCUGGUUGUACCGACUAUGAAAGCGGAAAUCGGCGGGGCAUGAAGCUGAAUCCGUUUAACGAGGAGAUGAAUGGUGACGCGAUGAUCACGGUGGCCGAUCUGUUGUCCACUGAACCCAACGACAUCUCGCUGAAGCCGAUCCCGGAUAGACAGUUCUAUCUGGCAAUGGACUUCAACAUGGUGGAAAACUACCGCUUCCACGAUCCGGAAUACUACUCUCUGUCGUCCCAGAUGGGGGCAGUUGGUGGACACCAUGCCCAUCACCUUUUCACUCCCCAGAUCAACGGUAUCACAUACAUCAACCCUCCGUCGCCGCCUCUGUCUCAGUAUCAUCGUGCCUCGCAAUAUUUCUGUGACAAAAACGAUUUCCUUGUGGACUGCAAGACGCAGCUGUGUGAGUGCACUCACCGACUGAAGGUCAAGGUCGGCGAGGUCGUGGAGCUCGUUCUGAUUGAUGAGGGUAAACACCUGGACAACAGUCACCCCAUGCAUCUUCAUGGACAUAGCUUUAGGGUCGUAGCUAUGGAAAAGCUGAACACCUCCACAAGUGUUGAGUACGUGAAGAUGCGUGACCGGAUUGGGCUUAUCAGCAGGAACCUGGACAGGCCAAUCACCAAGGAUACCGUGAAUGUCCCGGAUGGAGGUUAUACCAUUGUCAGGUUCCACGCCAAAAACCCAGGAUUCUGGCUGCUUCAUUGCCACAUCGCCUUCCACAUGGCGAUGGGUAUGAGUGUCGUCAUCCAGGUGGGCGAGGUGGAGCAGAUGCCAGCGCCCCCUAGGAAUUUCCCACGCUGCGGGGACUGGACACCGGAAACCCAGCAGAUGGAGGAGUACCCUGAAUGUGGCCAGCAGUCCACAGCCUACCCUCUGGUCAUGGGAACUGACGUAGCGAAUUCCUACUAUGGCUCUUCCGUCCAGCCAUGAUUUGCAUCGUGAUCAUGGAGAUUCUAAGAGGUACUGGACGUCAACAUCACUAACCAUGGCCAUUCAUCACUAUAUCUCCAACUUCAACCCUCCGCAACCAAAUCUGAGCUCUCAGUCUAGUGUGAACGCUACAGCUAAGAACAUGCGAAUGCAGAUGUUCAACAUGUUCCUUACCGGCAGCAAUGGU
rnacentral:misc_RNA from 1 species